GGUGAACGCUGGCGGUAGGCCUAACACAUGCGAGUCGAAUGGCAGCACAGGAGAGCUUGCUCUCUGGGUGGCGAGUGGCGGACGGGUGAGGAAUACAUCGGAAUCUACUCUGUCGUGGGGGAUAACGUAGGGAAACUUACGCUAAUACCGCAUACGACCUACGGGUGAAAGCAGGGGACCUUCGGGCCUUGCGCGAUUGAAUGAGCCGAUGUCGGAUUAGCUAGUUGGCGGGGUAAAGGCCCACCAAGGCGACGAUCCGUAGCUGGUCUGAGAGGAUGAUCAGCCACACUGGAACUGAGACACGGUCCAGACUCCUACGGGAGGCAGCAGUGGGGAAUAUUGGACAAUGGGCGCAAGCCUGAUCCAGCCAUACCGCGUGGGUGAAGAAGGCCUUCGGGUUGUAAAGCCCUUUUGUUGGGAAAGAAAUCCAGCUGGCUAAUACCCGGUUGGGAUGACGGUACCCAAAGAAUAAGCACCGGCUAACUUCGUGCCAGCAGCCGCGGUAA
rnacentral:rRNA from 1 species